rnacentral:rRNA from 1 species
AGAGUUUGAUCAUGGCUCAGAGCGAACGCUGGCGGCAGGCUUAACACAUGCAAGUCGAGCGGGUGUAGCAAUACAUCAGCGGCAGACGGGUGAGUAACGCGUGGGAACAUACCUUUUGGUUCGGAACAACACAGGGAAACUUGUGCUAAUACCGGAUAAGCCCUUACGGGGAAAGAUUUAUCGCCGAAAGAUUGGCCCGCGUCUGAUUAGCUAGUUGGUGAGGUAAUGGCUCACCAAGGCGACGAUCAGUAGCUGGUCUGAGAGGAUGAUCAGCCACAUUGGGACUGAGACACGGCCCAAACUCCUACGGGAGGCAGCAGUGGGGAAUAUUGGACAAUGGGGGCAACCCUGAUCCAGCCAUGCCGCGUGAGUGAUGAAGGCCCUAGGGUUGUAAAGCUCUUUUGUGCGGGAAGAUAAUGACGGUACCGCAAGAAUAAGCCCCGGCUAACUUCGUGCCAGCAGCCGCGGUAAUACGAAGGGGGCUAGCGUUGCUCGGAAUCACUGGGCGUAAAGGGUGCGUAGGCGGGUCUUUAAGUCAGGGGUGAAAUCCUGGAGCUCAACUCCAGAACUGCCUUUGAUACUGAGGAUCUUGAGUCCGGGAGAGGUGAGUGGAACUGCGAGUGUAGAGGUGAAAUUCGUAGAUAUUCGCAAGAACACCAGUGGCGAAGGCGGCUCACUGGCCCGGUACUGACGCUGAGGCACGAAAGCGUGGGGAGCAAACAGGAUUAGAUACCCUAGUAGUCC